rnacentral:tRNA from 2 species
GCGGGCGUAGCUCAGUUGGUAGAGCAUCAGCCUUCCAAGCUGAGGGUCGCGAGUUCGAGUCUCGUCGCCCGCU